UAGGGAAUAUUAGUAAUGGGCGAAAGCCUGAACUAGCAACACCGCGUGUGCGAAGAAGGCCUUCGGGUUGUAAAGCACUUUUUGAGAGGAUGAGGAAGGACGGUACUCUCAGAAUAAGUCUCGGCUAACUACGUGCCAGCAGCCGCGGUAACACGUAGGAGGCAAACGUUAUCCGGAUUUACUGGGCGUAAAGCGCGUGUAGGUGGUUUGGUAAGUAGAGCGUGAAAGCUCCUGGCUCAACUGGGAGAGGUCGUUCUAAACUGCCGGACUAGAGGAUGGUAGAGGGAGGUGGAAUUCCGGGUGUAGCGGUGGAAUGCGCAGAUAUCCGGAGGAACACCAGUGGCGAAAGCGGCCUCCUGGACCAUUCCUGACACUCAGACGCGAAAGCUAGGGGCACGAACC
rnacentral:rRNA from 1 species